AUAGAGCACUUGGCUUCGAACCAAGGGGUAGGGAGUUCGAAUCUCUCCGGGCGCG
rnacentral:tRNA from 1 species